rnacentral:misc_RNA from 1 species
UUAAUCUCAAACUUCAGAGUUGAUUUCUGAAGUUUUUGGAUGUUGGGGGAUUUGCUGGCAUUCGAAAUGUUGUUGGCUCCCCUUAAAUGCAUUAGCAAGGAAACCAUUUCAAGGAUGACUUGGCUCUGGUUUGAUAAUUAUAUAUCUAUGCCAUUGCUGAGAAGUCAGGAAAGGGAGUUUUCAGCUUCUAACUUGUCUUUCGAGACUUUUUUGAA